GGCUGAGGCUGAGGCUGAAGCUGAGGCUGAGGCUGAAGCUGAGGCUGAGGCGGCUAAAAAGCCAUAGCGGAGUGGACGAUAGCCGAUUGUGGUUUUGCUCAACAAAAUAAAUAAAAUACAUGUUGAGGUGUGAGUUGUCGCAGUAAAGUGAUAUUGGCUGUCGUGUGAUUUUUUUUUAAAUUUUUUUCCUCAGAUCCUUAAAUCGUCCAGCGCUCAGUCACCAAUCAAGGAGCGCAGCCGGGGGAAAUCCUUAUCGCCGCGUCGACGACAGAGCAGUCCCCAUCGUCGCUUCACACACCGCAGAGACAAAUCGCCGGCCUCGGUGGAGAGGAAACCUCCGGAGCUCAGCACUCUCAACGACGGCUACCAGAUCCGUAUCUGAUCCCUUCUUCACCUCCCAGUCUUCCUAAAUCCGUCCACGCUUCGCAGUCACCCUGAUCCCCCGAAACAACAAGGAGUCUCUACCUGCCACCCACGUCUUUCAGGAGACGAGUCACUGCAGCAGCUGGAGCGAUUACUCACAGAACCAGGUGGAUGAUGAACACGUGUUCUGAGCUGGAACAGCAAGAACUUCUUAGAAGCAGAGACUGGGACAAUGAACCCAUGACCACAGAGUCCUGACACCAGACAAGGUAGUGUGGAGAGAAACAGCAGACACGUGUUUAUUAAUGCUUUUGGCCUGUUAUCGUGUAAAAUCAGCACUUAUCAUAACGCCGCUUCUACAGCACAAUUUCCCCGACAGAGAAUCUGAGCAGUUGAUAUCUCCUGUCGGGGACGACUUUCCAGGUUUCCCAACAUGGCGGCUACAGGGAGACGGAUAGGAAGGAAGCACCGUCACAGGUGUAGGUGUGGUUAUCCCACUUUAUCCUCACGCUUUGGCUUCAUCUGUACGAGAAAGUUCACUGAAGGAGUGUUCAGAAGAGGUGUUUCACUCGUGAACCCGACGGCCGAGCAGACUUCCAUUAAUCAGAGCGGACGAGCGUGGAAUCAGGAGAGGACGAUCGAUAGAGUAUGCGGGGAAAUCAAAGACACGGAGUCGAUGGAGGGGAGAGGAAAGGGAAGGAGGAGAGGAGAGGUGGGCGAGGGGUGAGAGGAGAAGAGGCUGCAGGAGAUCAGUGAACGAUCAUUAGAGCACUGCAGCAAACCUCCUGCCCCCCCCCCCCCCCCCACACUCUCAGUCUCCUCUUCCUCUGCCCUCUGUUGACUCAUAACUGAAUACAUCACACAGCUCUGUGAACAUCAGGAAGAAAACCCUCAAACUCCGUCUCCAAUGCAGAUGUUCAGAAGUUAGCGGUCGCCACAGAGAGGCUGUUACUGAUAUCAUAUAUCCAGAUAACAACAUCAAGUCCACAUCGAUUCCUUUUAUUUAUUGUGUAACUGCAAGAGAAACACAUCUGUUGUUUGAUUAAUGGGAUGACAAAGAUGCUUUUCUUUUUUAAAAACAAAACAAGUGUUUCAGACGUUCACCUCUUCAGGCCUCUAGAAGUCACUGUUUUAGUCAAACUGUUCCUUUGAUGAAAACGUCAAAAGGUUGUGAAGGAGAAGUCGUUGGGACGUAAGAAGAAGAAUCCGACUGCUUUACACGUUUUAUUAUUAUUUAUUCAUAACACUCCGAGAAUGUACAAUUCGAGUCAGGAGUCCUGUCCAAAACAGAAUGAAAUGUUGCUGCCGCAAGGAAUUGUGGGACGGCAUCAUCUACUCUUCUUUAGUGAAGGAUCCUUCAGCGUUCCCUCUGCUAAAGGAGAUGAGAAAGGAAGCAUCAAAGCAUCCUUUUCUGAGCAUUUAGAGCUCUUAUCAUGGCUGCCACUUAGAUACUUCCAGCUCAUUUCACUCAAAAAGACUAUUGGACUGCAGCCGUGGUUUUAUCUGAUGGGGUCACAAGGGGGGGGGACAUUGGGAACCACUCAUCCGAACUAGUUGAUUCUAGAGGCCUCAGCAAGUGUCCAGUAUUACAUAAGAAAUAAGCCAAUAUUAGAAAAAGAACAGGAAAAAUAUAUAUAUUUUGUCUUUCUCGUCCCUUUAAUCACCUUGUGGUCGCUCAGAUUUGAUAAAUACGAGUGUAGACAGUAACUGUUAUGAGCAAGGAAAAAAUCAAAGAUCUUAGAUACCUACGACUGAAACGUAGAUAAAACCGCCUCAGUCACAAGACAGUAAAUUGAGCGGUCAGCAUGUUUUGGGUUAAACUUCAAAUACUCUGAUCUCACAAAACCUGAAAUAGUAUCUCUAGUAUUUCCAAACAUCUUCGUAUGUGUUGACUAAACCGUCGUGUUCACACAGUAAACUAACGUACUGUUAAACAGCUGUUCCACCAACAGCUGGAUUAUCAAAUGAUUGCAGCCACUUUGUCCAAUCAGAGGAACGAGGAGUGAAGGCAGAGUGAACACUUUGUAACAACGGCUUCUUUCAGGACAGAUGUAACACGCUGUCACACGCUGUCAGCGGAUAUUAAAGGACGGCAAAGUCGGGACCUUUAGAGAGAUCGAGGAUGAUGGUUGGGUCACAGCAAUGACAGAAAGUACUCCUGUUAUUGAGAUUCGUCAUGUUUUAAUCUCAACGCUUAAUGCCUUUCGGUUGAAUUCUGCAACAUCCGCUCUGCUUUGUGUUCGACAACCUUAAAAUGUCAACAAAAAACAAGUCACCCGUUGUGUUAAUGCAGUUUUUCAUUCAGUAACUCAUAUUCUCAGUUCGUCGCAGGAGACGAAUACGAGUCAGGAGACCACGGAAGUUCUCAGAGCAGCUUCUGCUCCGAGUGCCGUAUGUACGCGCCGUAUGUACGCGCCGUAUGUACGCGCCGUAUGUACGCGCCGCUUAUGUAUGUAACCUUUUUUUUGGAUUCUCCUGUUGAGGCCUUUUUGAUGAAUCCCAGCAGAGAAGCUUGAAGUCUCACGUGACGUUGUCCAGUGCGAUCUUCAGCUGAUUUAUAGCCACUCUGAUACAAACAGAUGUUGAACACAUGCGGUAUGAAUGUACGUGCGUCUACGUUUAUCCACGUACAGUUUGAAGCCUUCAGACUGAGAAGUGUGUGAGUCAGUGUGAAACAGAAACAUAUGCUGCUGAGGACGACCACAGCCCUCCACCGCUGGCCCCCGAUCAGCUCUAGAGUCACAGAAUGAACGGGUCGGAUGCCUUGCUCAAUGGCAUCUUGAGGGCAGCAGAAGUAAAAUGGGUGCUUUUAUUCAGAAUAAAUCCGUGUUUUGAAAAAAAAGCAACUUUCACUUGCUCUCCUGCUUCCAACUGUCUGCUUUUAGUGUACUUGAAAAGCUAUGACCACUGACUCGAGUGCAAAGAUUAUCUCUGUUCUAAUAAGCGGCACCAGGCAUCUGUAGUCUAGUGGCCGUGAGAGAGCAGCAAGACGUAAUGAAAGUCCUGCAGCAGCUUCUGGGAGCGAGAAACUGAAGACGGCGUCCUAUUUAAAGGCACUCCGGUGUUGUUUGGCCACUAGUAGCGCUAUAGAGCAAUGUGUGGGAGCCCAUCUUUAUUAUCCCGUGUUUCCUGGUCACUUUUGCCACCAGGUGGUUUUCUUCAUUUCCUCAAGAACGUAGAUGAGUUGUGUUUUCACAAAUGCCCGGUGCAGCUUUAACUCUAUAUCUAAUGGAGCAAAGAUAAUCUUCCAUAGCUGUAACGUUCAGUGAGGAACACGAGCAGCCUCAUUUUACUUUGGUGCUUCGUUCAGUCUGUGUACUGAUUGUUUCAGAACGUUAUCAGUUCAUUGUUUUAUCACUUCUUCUUCUUUCCGCCUGUGUUUUGA